rnacentral:rRNA from 1 species
AGACCCGAAACCCGGUGAUCUAGCCAUGGGCAGGUUGAAGGUUGGGUAACACUAACUGGAGGACCGAACCGACUAAUGUUGAAAAAUUAGCGGAUGACCUGUGGCUGGGGGUGAAAGGCCAAUCAAACCGGGAGAUAGCUGGUUCUCCCCGAAAGCUAUUUAGGUAGCGCCUCGUGAAUUCAUCUCCGGGGGUAGAGCACUGUUUCGGCUAGGGGGCCAUCCCGGCUUACCAACCCGAUGCAAACUGCGAAUACCGGAGAAUGUUAUCACGGGAGACACACGGCGGGUGCUAACGUCCGUCGUGAAGAGGGAAACAACCCAGACCGCCAGCUAAGGUCCCAAAGUCAUGGUUAAGUGGGAAACGAUGUGGGAAGGCCCAGACAGCCAGGAUGUUGGCUUAGAAGCAGCCAUCAUUUAAAGAAAGCGUAAUAGCUCACUGGUCGAGUCGGCCUGCGCGGAAGAUGUAACGGGGCUAAACCAUGCACCGAAGCUGCGGCAGCGAACGUAUCACCCAAGACAACUUUACGGAGUUGACGAUUGACGGAGCGAAGCGACGUCAAAGCGUUCAUUAAAGUCGAGUUGGCUUAGGGAUACGUUCGUUGGGUAGGGGAGCGUUCUGUAAGCCUGUGAAGGUGUGUCGUGAGGCAUGCUGGAGGUAUCAGAAGUGCGAAUGCUGACAUAAGUAACGAUAAAGCGGGUGAAAAGCCCGCUCGCCGGAAGACCAAGGGUUCCUGUCCAACGUUAAUCGGGGCAGGGUGAGUCGACCCCUAAGGCGAGGCCGAAAGGCGUAGUCGAUGGGAAACGGGUUAAUAUUCCCGUACUUGGUGUUACUGCGAAGGGGGGACGGAGAAGGCUAUGUUGGCCGGGCGACGGUUGUCCCGGUUUAAGCGUGUAGGUGUGUGUUCCAGGUAAAUCCGGUUCACUUUAACACUGAGGCGUGAUGACGAGGCACUACGGUGCUGAAGCAACAAAUGCCCUGCUUCCAGGAAAAGCCUCUAAGCAUCAGGUAACAUCAAAUCGUACCCCAAACCGACACAGGUGGUCAGGUAGAGAAUACCAAGGCGCUUGAGAGAACUCGGGUGAAGGAACUAGGCAAAAUGGUGCCGUAACUUCGGGAGAAGGCACGCUGACACGUAGGUGAAGUGAUUUACUCACGGAGCUGAAGUCAGUCGAAGAUACCAGCUGGCUGCAACUGUUUAUUAAAAACACAGCACUGUGCAAACACGAAAGUGGACGUAUACGGUGUGACGCCUGCCCGGUGCCGGAAGGUUAAUUGAUGGGGUCAGCGCAAGCGAAGCUCCUGAUCGAAGCCCCGGUAAACGGCGGCCGUAACUAUAACGGUCCUAAGGUAGCGAAAUUCCUUGUCGGGUAAGUUCCGACCUGCACGAAUGGCGUAAUGAUGGCCAGGCUGUCUCCACCCGAGACUCAGUGAAAUUGAACUCGCUGUGAAGAUGCAGUGUACCCGCGGCAAGACGGAAAGACCCCGUGAACCUUUACUAUAGCUUGACACUGAACAUUGAGCCUUGAUGUGUAGGAUAGGUGGGAGGCUUUGAAGUGUGGACGCCAGUCUGCAUGGAGCCGACCUUGAAAUACCACCCUUUAAUGUUUGAUGUUCUAACGUGGACCCGUAAUCCGGGUUGCGGACAGUGUCUGGUGGGUAGUUUGACUGGGGCGGUCUCCUCCUAAAGAGUAACGGAGGAGCACGAAGGUUGGCUAAUCCUGGUCGGACAUCAGGAGGUUAGUGCAAUGGCAUAAGCCAGCUUGACUGCGAGCGUGACGGCGCGAGCAGGUGCGAAAGCAGGUCAUAGUGAUCCGGUGGUUCUGAAUGGAAAGGCCAUCGCUCAACGGAUAAAAGG